rnacentral:rRNA from 1 species
CUACGGGGGGCACCAGCUGAGGAAAUUUUACAAUGCUCGAAAGAGUGAUAAAAUAAACCAGAGUGUUUCUUUCUAAGAAACUUUUGUCUGUUUUAAAAAGACAGACGAAUAAGGACUGGGUAAGACCGGUGCCAGCCGCCGCGGUAAUACCGGCGGUCCAAGUCGCAUCCACAUUUAUUGGGUCUAAAACAUCCGUAGCUUGUUUUGUAAGUUUCUUGUGAAAUCUGACAUCUCAAAUGUCAGGCGUGCAAGAAAUACUACAUUGCUAGAGACCGGAAGACGUAAGGAGUACGAUUGAGGUAGUGGUAAAAUACGUUAAGCUUAAUCGGACUAACAAUGGCGAAGGCACCUUACGAGUACGGAUCUGACAGUGAGGGAUGAAGGCCAGGGGCGCAAAAGGGAUUAGAUACCCCCGUAGUC